GCGCCACAGGCUAACACGUUGCGUGGUGUACAGGACUGUCCGGAAGGUGCUUGACAUCGAUGGAUGGUAUUUAAUGGGGAUGGAAUAUCUAGAAUGCAACCCCUGUGAAAAGAAGUUGGCAGGUUGGUCACUGGAUGUCCUUAACCAGGUGGACACAAGUUCUCAGCGAUCUUGGCUUUUCGGUUAAUUCCCAUGGUGUAUCAGGCUGUCCUGUGACCUGAAGGUAGUCAGAAUAGACGAGGGAGCGUACACUUGGGAACAGCGUGACUAGGCUCUUCCUUACCUCAAGAAGGCUGCUCCAUUGCCCCCUACUAUCUGUCAGGACCUGGAGGAGGAUGAGUACACAAGUCCUGAUGGGGUUGUCGGGUAUCAACAUGUCGUUCUCCUUGCCAAAAGUCUGAUGAGACUCUUGGAGAGGCUGUCGAUCUCGACUCGGCAUGCCCAAAGAGAUAAUCGCCCUGUGAGAGAAUCUUCCAGAGGCGAACAAGAUGAGUCUCCUCAAAGACCACAGCAGUCGAGGGGGAAGAUAGCAUGAAGCGCUCCCUAUUUGGACAAGGACCUGGACCUGCCCUGUGGCCCAACACUAGCAGCACAGUAGAGGCUUUCUUUUUGGAGCUUUGCCAGACUGUCCUUGGUGUGCGGGACAACAGGUGGGCUGCCAUCCAGAAGGACUACAGGACCAUCAGGAACAUGAUGCUGCUAAUUAUUAAUAAUGUCUACAUGUAUCAUCAUCAUCUUACUAUUGUUAGACCGUCCUCUGACUUCAGCUCAUAGACCGUGGUGUUGGUCUGGGCCAUCAACCCUGGGCUGUUCAGCACCGCCUCUCUGACUGAAGAGGAUCGCCCACCUGCACCUCUUAGGGCCGCAUGGAUGCUGGUGACAGAGCUGGCUGCAAAUGGCCUCGACCAGGCGACUGCCGCCUGGCCACGUAGCAGGACCCGGGUUAAGUCUGAGAAAGCAACUGAAAGACAAAGAUUUGAACAAAGAAUACUUGUUAGUGUUGGCAGUGGAUGGCAACUGUUGAAAUAAUUAUUAUAUUAACCAAAUACCAUUGAACACUGUCCUUUCCAGCAGUUUCCCUUUAAUCGCUUUGAACCGCCCGCGCUCGAGCCUGUCCUGGUGACGGAAAGUGUCGACAACUCCUCUGGCUGCGGUAGUGUUUGCCACAGUCCUAUCAGACAGUCUACCUUUCGAUCCGUGAGCCCCUGAAGACCCUCUUGGCCAGCCUGCAGACCUGCUGGUAUCUGGCCCUUGGCACUCCUUCUGAAUGUUACAAAUACAUUAAAAAAAUAAAAUAAAAAGCCUUUCAGGAAA